UGGCUCUUUUGCUGCAGCUCGUACCAGUUUUGCAGCUGCAGCUGUUUCAGAAGAGUUUCA
rnacentral:pre_miRNA from 1 species